UUUUGCAAUUCUCUCCCCAAUGUAUCCACCCUUAGAAGGAUUAAAGAUUCCAGCAGUGAAGACAAGUCACAAAAUUCCAAGAGAAGCUCAAAGUGAGGUUUGCAUCAACUCUGCGCUUCGGCCAUGCAAACUGUACAUGCCUAUGCAAGGAGGACACUUUGAAUUCCUGCCACAAAACUAAUUUAAGAUAGAAUUUGUAGCUCCGAUACAAUCAUGAUUACAGUAUUUAUUCUUUGAUAUAAAUGUAUUUACCUAGCCACCUAGCCUCCAAACAACCCCCAUAGGUAGUAUUCGUAGUUGGGGGGGGGGGGCACCCUACAUGAUGUAGUAGUCCUUUUGUUUGUGCUAUGAGAAGCUACAGAUUUCAUUUGCUUGUCGCUUUCUCUUCCCCAGCAUCUCGCACUGCGAAUAAUGCAAAGGCGUUAUCUUGUUACAUUUAAAAGCAACAGAGAUGCGCUUUCACACAUCUGGUUGUCCUGGCACAAAAGAAGGGGAGCAAAACCUGCAUCUUCAUCCUCGAAAUGAGAGGGAGAGAGGCGUACAUCAUAUGACCUGCAAUUUUGUGAUGCGGGUGUGUGUGUGUGUGUUAUAUUCAGCCUCAAUAAUUCAUUGCUUUUGCAGGUUGAGGGAAUUGAUCCCAGCCUAGGAUAUCCCCUAGAGCUCGUUCCAAGAAGAUGGAAGUCACACUUUAAAAAAGAAGAAGAAGAAAUCUGCAGAUUAUCAUCGUAGGAUCAAAACCCUUUGUCUCUUGUAAACAUCUUCCCUCCCUACAAAGAGGGAAGAGGGAGAUUGUAUUCCACAUUUAUUCAGAGGCAAAUGGAUAUAAAGACCUUUGACAAGAUAUGCAAGGAAAUACAAGACUCUUGGGACUCCAUUAAAAGCUGCUGGCAAGCUGCCGACAACCGGCUGGAAAGCUUUCCCUUUAAACUGCAGAUAAGGAAGAUUCCAAGAUCUCCGUAUCCACGUAUUAACGGAUUGGCACCAAUUUAAUAUCCUAUCUCUCUGAACUGAUUCUAAGCAUAACUACUAUUUUGCUUUUUGCACUGAGACCUGUCCGCUCUGGAAAAAUCAUCUUUAUUACUACAGCAACAAGUUUAAAGAGACAACAGCUGAUUGUCAAAUCCAGCCUCUUUGCCGGUGCGCCAUUCGCCUCGCCAUUUCAUGGCUUACCAAGUUUGGACUGCAUGCUGAACAUGGAGAGGGUCAUCCAGGGGUCUACUGGUGCCUCGGGCAGUGACCCCCAUCUCCAUCGGCCCCUCCUCUCACUGGACCUUGGCUAGCUUGGCCAUGCUAUGGACACUCAAUGGAACCCCUUCUUCCUUUCCUCUUGGAUUCUGUACUUUCUUAUGAGACUUAUGGAUUUACCCUGGACUUUUGGGUAGGUGAGAGUGGGCAAUAUGAUUUCUAACUCUAUGAAUGUAUUCUAUGUAUCCCUAUAUGUCUCUCUUUUCCCUUAUGUCCCCAAUGUAUGAAAUAUUAAGACCCACCCCUGUUCGACCUGGAUGGCAGAAAGUCAUCUGCAUUCCUGAGAGGGGAAAUCCUCUCACAAAGGACAUAAUCAAAUACCUUGCAUGAACAAUAGCCAUUGGUCUUCCCUUUUGAGUCUCAGAGCAAGGCCGCUCAAAAGAGGAAUUGAUCACUUGGUUCUUUGUCACAUUCAAAUCUGGGACGAUCUAGCCUUCGGAAAGCCAAGAUCGUCCUGCCUGUCAUUCCAUUUGUCAAUUUACCCAGCCGAACAUAUUAACAAAUAACUCACCCAUCUGCUCUGCUUCCAGCCUUUUGAAAACCGGAAUCUGGCAAGCCACGCCAGACCAAUAUGUAUAUUUUCACCCCUGAAAAUAAUCUUGGGACACCUUGAGGGCUUUUAAGCUGUCGGUGCCCAUUAUGUACAGAUUAGACUCACUGAUUCAUUCACAAAUCCACUCAGUCGCCCUUUGUCAAGGACCCAGACCGCCCCCUCGCUCCUGAUUGGCUGAGGAGCCGAAGUGGGGAUAGCUCUCUGAUUGGGCAGGGUGUUCGCGUCCCCGCUCCAAUGACCAAUCAAUGUGAAGCCGGCUGAGGGAGGCGGGGCGGGAAAUUCAAACCUCGCCACCCUGUUUUUUCACUAUAAAGGGUGCUGUAUUCUGUUGUAUGACAUGUCUUCUUGACGAAUGAUUGUGGUUGACAUCCUAUCCAGCUGGAUCAAAUAAAAUUUGGUGGUCCCUUCUUCAGCUUAUGGUGAGAAUUAUUGGGGAUUGGGGGAUCUAUGAUUCGCAGCGGCUCUCUCCUUCUUGCCAGAAGCACGGACCCUCGGGGAGGUCCCAGGUCCCACUCCUUUCUAAGGGGACCUCCAAAUUCUAGCUCAAUUUCAAGAACAUUCUACCAUAUGCUAGCCACAUUAGAUGAUACAUGGGGGAAACAACAUACUAUUUUCUAUCAUGAAAAUACAAACUAGUCAUGGCUGGUAGUUCCCAUGUGAGUGCAAUGGUGAAUCAAUUCCAGGAUUUAAAGUAUCUCUCCAUGACAUUGGAAUCUAACCUUUGUUGUGUCCUCUCCCCAUUUAUUUAAAAGAUUUUUGAUCCUUUCUUCUAACUUGCAUGAACACUCACCUCUUCACUCACAGAACUGGGAACCAAUUUUGAUGCUGCACUUUGCUGCCCCAGUGCCAUCCCAGGUGUUUUGUAUAAAUAUACAAUGAAUGUAGAAUCAUAAAGUUGGAAGAAACCACAUGGGCCAUCUACUCCAACCUCCUGCUGUUCUGGAAAAGCCAAUCAAAGCACCCCUAUAGAUGGGCAUCCAGCCUGUUUAAAGGUCUCCAAGGAAGGAGCUUCCACCACACUCCAAGACAGUGAGGUCCACUGUUUUUUUUAUUAUUAUUGUGUCAGAAGCAACUUGAGAACAUACUGCAAGUCGCUUCUGGUGUGAGAGAAUUGGCUGUCUACAGAGAUAUUGCCUAGGGGACUCCUGGAUGUGUUACCAUCCUGCUGGGAGGCUUCUCUCAUGUCCCCACAAGCUAGAGCUGACAGACGGGAGCUCACCCUGUCUCACGGAUUCAAACCGGCAACCUUCAAGUCAGCAACUCAACCUUCAGGUCAGCAGUCCAGCUGGCACAAAGAUUUAACCCACUUGCUUCAUUAUUAAACAGCUCUUACAGUCAAUAAGUUCUUCCUAAUGUUCAGGUGGAAUGUAUGUAAAUAAUAGGUUCAUAUUUAACUAUAAGGAGUCGGAAAAAUUAUUAUAAUUCUUUUAUGCUUCCUCAUGUCCAAAAGCAGCUUUCUAAGCAGCAAAGAAAGUUGUUCUUCCAAAAUUUAAAAACCAUGUGCCAACUACAGAAGGAAUUUGAACUAGAUGGCCCAUGUGGUCUCUUCCAACUCUACAUUCUAUCAUUUCAGGUUUUGGCAAAUUGAAUGACAUGAACAGCAAAAUUACCAUUGUGAUGUUCUAGAUAUCUGGACAAUCACUGGGUCUGUGUUAUGUGAAUUAGUGUAUUUUUCAUCAGACAGUCACAGAAUCUAUUUAAAGUUCAUUUUGCCCCUUCUCACAAGGGAGAAGCUUGGAAGAAAAAGUAGGGCAAUGAAAGCCAGAACCAGUAAAUGCUGAUCCCAUGACAACGCUAUCUGUGCCACCACAACUAUUAUGGAUUUGUAAAAGUGCAAGGAAUUGGUAUCCUUAUGACUUGCCUUUUUAUGGCUGCUUUUACUAUGUUUUAAUAUGGAAUUGUUGUUGUUUUAUUUGGUUUUGUCUGCCUUUCCUUCUAACCUUACUUUUUAACUCAUUUAUUAAAGUAUAUAAUUCCCUUGUUAAAACAAUGUCUACUAAUUUCUUUCAAGGCAAGCUUGGAAAGUACUAAUCAUCUAUCUAUAUAUAUAGCGUCACUCCACCGGGCAAAACAACAAAACUAAAGGCCCCCCAACCUAGAAAAUUGACAACACAACCCCUCAUCCACGUCUCUACAUUCUUACGCUCAACAAAGUUCCCCCCCCCCCCCAAAACAAGGAAACACCCACUCUUUGAAGGUCCAAACCCAUUCGGUACUCAUCACUCUCUCAUCUCAAAACACAAAUUAAAGAGCAACACUCUGAAAACAAAGGAAUUCCAUCCAGGAAACAAUCAGGGCCACCUAAUACCUCCCAACAAAGGAUUCCCCCCCUCUAAGACAUGGAACCACCUUAAAAAAGCCACAGCAACGCGUGGCCGGGCACAGCUAGUGACUUAUAAAACCUUAUAUAGCUUAGGUCUAGAUCAGUGCUUCCCAAAGUGGGCAAUAUAGCUGGUGAUAUCAAUGGUGGUGGGAGGGAUAGUUUCCUGGGAUGCACUGAUUAAAAAUAAGGGGACGGUCAUAAAAAUAUAACCAUCAGCAAAGAAUCAAUAGCCUAACAUAGUGGCCACUUACUCCACUAAACGGCAAGGCAGGCACUUGUACAAAAUAGUUGCAAGGACAGGGCUGCUGGGAAAGUGCAAAAGCCAGACAAUAUGCUUGGGCUAGAAUACAGCACAAACCAAUGGAUCCAAAUUACAACAAAGGAAAUUCUACCUGAAUAUUAGA